rnacentral:rRNA from 1 species
UGGGGAAUAUUGCACAAUGGGGGAAACCCUGAUGCAGCGACGCCGCGUGAGUGAAGAAGUAUUUCGGUAUGUAAAGCUCUAUCAGCAGGGAAGAUAAUGACGGUACCUGACUAAGAAGCCCCGGCUAACUACGUGCCAGCAGCCGCGGUAAUACGUAGGGGGCAAGCGUUAUCCGGAUUUACUGGGUGUAAAGGGAGCGUAGGUGGCAGGGCAAGUCAGAUGUGAAAACCCGGGGCUCAACCCCGGGAGUGCAUUUGAAACUGUCCAGCUGGAGUGCAGGAGAGGUAAGCGGAAUUCCUAGUG